rnacentral:ribozyme from 11 species
AAAAAUUCUCUCGAUGAUGUUUCUUCGUUCUUCUGUAGUCCGUCUCGUGAAUGGUCUUUCUUGUCCUGUCUGUCUCGUGCCUCUCAAUGUGUUCAUCCGACCACGGCGGGAAUGAAGGAACGAGAGUUGUCAGUCAAGGAACGGCAAAGAAAGAGCAAAGGACUGUGAUGCUCCUCUCU